rnacentral:rRNA from 1 species
AUGCAGGUUACUCCGAGAUGGUGCGUCGAUAAGGGGGAGUGUUGGGAGCGGAUCAUGGACUAUUGGUGUUCCAAAGAGUACAGGGCGAAAAACAAAGAUUAUAGAAAUCGGCGAGCCGGAAUGCUGGAUCCACCACAUCAUCAAGGCAACUUGAACAUUAUGGAGUACGGUGAACGUUGGGCGUCUCACCAUAAUGCUCCAGUGCCCAACCUUUUCGUCUCGUAUGCUUUGGCCCAUAAUCACCGUACAGAACAACCACGCCUUACGAUGAGAAUGACACAGCGUCCGCGUACUCCAGCAAGACCGCCUACGAUCGGAUGGAGAAAUUUAAAGGGGUGGCAAAAGAGUUGA